UAGAACACAUGAUAUUUCUGGAAGACAGUGUCCGUCUAUUGACUUUUUUUUUUUUCUCCCCCAUCUACUAAAGUGGGCUGAAAAUGCAAAAAUUGUGUGUCUAUGAUGCAAAAAUACAACACCUAAAGAAGAAAGAAAGAGGAAAAUUUAAAGGGCUUUUUAAUGGGAAAAUUGAAUUAAAGGUCUCUAUAUAAUGCCUAAAUUCUGUGGUGGUAGAAAACAAUGCAAAUGCUACAGAUUUGAGAAUAUUAACUUCUUAUAAAUAAAUUAGUAAGAAAUCUUUGAGCUGUACUUCUAUUCAAAGGAUAUAUUGUUGUGUUGCUUCUUAAGCAAGUAUCAAAAAAAGUAACUGUAAAUCAAUUUUACAUUUUUGUGUAAAUGUAAAUUAAGUGUUUAUGAUGCUGGCACUUUCAUGUCUUCACUGUUUUCUUUGGUGACCAAUUCCUUUAAAAAACCUGAGCUCAGAUAAUUACUCUACUGGAGAGAAGUGUGCAAUAUAUGAACAGUGAAAAAUCCUGUGCAAGGAGCAGCUUGAGACCUGAGUAAAAUUGAAAUUUCUCAUUUUGUCCUGUGAUAUGCACACAACUUUUCAAAAUGGAAAAUUAAAAUAUCUAUAUUUGCAUAAUGUACUAUGGAAAUUUUGGAUAAGAAUAUGAUGCUGUUACACUAAAUAAUACCUCAGAAUUUUAGCUCAGCAAUGGGAACGAAAUGCAAUUCAAUUGCAGCAACACUGUCAGAAUUCAGCUUCACAUGGGGGACUACAUAAGAUACUUUAGAGUUCAAGGUACUUUAAACCUCGUGCCCUUCCCUGAUAGAUACCUAAGUCAUAUGUAAAUGUGUAUUGUUUUCAGGUUUAGCUCAAUGGAUUUCCUUUCUUUGAAGCUUUAGUGACAAACACAGAGUUGUAUUAAAAAUGUCUGGGGUUCCUUUUUUUAUUUUUCCUCCCCCACCCUGCUUCCUCCAUAGAGUAACUUCCCAGCCUGAGUAUUAUGAGUGGCAUUAGUGAAACAAUUGCUGGUCUUGGUAUGGAUCUGCCAUUGCAGAGCAAGCUUUAUGGAUGAAGAUGAAAUGGCUUUUCAGCUUAUUUCUGCAGUUGAGUUUUCAAUACUGCUGUUAUCCUUAUGUGAAGCUGUACUGUGAUGUGCUACUUAAAGAGGGUUUUAAGCAUCUUUUGAGCAUAAGGUUGGACUAGAGGUCUCCUGAGGUCCUUCCAACCUCAAUUAUCCUGUGAUCUGGUGAAUGUUACUUCUGGGGAAGAAUUCUUCAUGCUUAGUGAAAUACAUUUCAUGUUUUUCAUAACAUCUUGAAAAUCUGUGGAGAUCUUAAAAACAUUUUCUUGAUUUCUAAUAAACAUAAUCAUAUAUAGCAAAAUGCUCCACACAUUUCAGUUUUUCUAGUCAGAGAACCUAUUUUUCAAGCUUUGUUUUUUCACCAAAUUACAUUAAAAUAUAUACGUUUUGGCUGGUUUUAUUUCUACUUGAUAAAGCAGACUAGAUGUAAUUGUAGGUUCAGUAUUAUUUUUCUGUGAGAAGUAACUACAUCGAUGAGCUUCAGCCUAGAGGUUCUAAACUUUGUCUUUAGACAUUUUACUGGUCUCAUACAAGAGAAUCUACACUUAGAGUGUGGAUAUUUAUCAGUUCAUUUCAAUUAAAAUGUUUCAUAUAGAUGUCAGAAGGAAAACAUACUUGCUGUUGUUCUCCAAGCACCUAGAAUUCUGUGAGGCUUUUACAUAGUUCAUGUUACACUGGAAUAUGCUUUACUGCAUCUAAAAGGGUUUUUAGUAUGCUCAGUACAUCUUUAUUUCCCACAUUAACUUCUUUUCUUGUAUUUCGUAGUGUCUGGGAACGGUUUGCUAAACUGUUCUUACUGCUAAAGUGAAAUAUUUCAUAGUUCUUUGUGCUGUUUUAAAACCCUUGACUUACCUUUAACUAAUGGCCUGAAACAUUUAACAUCAUGUCUGUUGUUGUUGUUGUUGGUUGUUUUGUUGUGUUUUUGUUUUUAAAAAAGGCCUUGAAGUUUAAGCAUUUUUUCAACACGUAGUAUUUUAACUAGGUAGUCUGGCAAAACUGAUCUCAUAAAAAAAAUUAUUCAGUCAAUCAUCCCCAGGCUGACUUAAGCAAGAAAUACAAAGAACAUUAUUUAAAUCAUAGAAUAAUUUCUGUUGGAUUAAAUCUCCAGAGGUCAUCUGGUCCAGAGCCAAGUUUAAAUUAAACUUUUUACUAAAGAAAGUUCAGCCUGAUACUUAUUGAAUCUAAGUAGCAGAAUGUUCCAUCAGUUCAAAAUAAUUUCUUUCAAAAAUGUAAGAUAAAUGACUACUGAUCAAGUAUAUAUUGAUUUAUAUAUGCUGGGAAUGAUGACUUAUGGAUAUUUUUUUUUAAGGUUUGGACAGACUUUAACUCAAUAGCGAUUGUGCAAGCAAAUUACUUCUUACAGCUUAUAGUAAAGACUGACAGCUAAUUUGCAAAGAUUUCUGAAACGGUUUGCAGAAAAAAGAAAAGGGAAACACAAACACUUCUGAAAAUGAGAUAAACCUCUUAUGCAGUGGAGAUUUCAUGUGGAGAAUGCUGGUACCUGCAAGCUUUGCUGUCCCUGAUAAAUGCCAUACGCUUCAAUGUGAACCAAACCGCUAUCUGAGCCCCAGAGAUAAAAGAAUGCAGCACUUACAGACAACUUCUUUGAAAGGCACAUUUAAUUAUGCUUUCAGAAGCCAGAAAGAUGAUGGUAAGAGCUGUGGAAGGACUAUUCAAAGAACAGAGGGGCAAAUGAAAUUUUAAUCAUCCGAGUGUUACAUAAUUAGAACUAACUGACAUUUCAACAACAUCCAUGUGGAAGUAUAGCUCUCAUUUUUUGCGAAGGGAUAUAUUAACUAAAUAACACACAAUAAAUCCGUGUUCACAGAAUGUUCAUUACUCCUUUGGAUACAUACUGACUGAACUAAUGAAGGAACCGUAAGAAAAUUGUUAAUAUUUUGUGCAUCAGAAAAAGUAACAUUAUAUCAUCUCCGUUCUAAUAUUUUCUGUUUCCUUAGUUAUGCUAGUUGAAGAGGAGCCCGUAUUUUCUGUUGUUUAUAUCCCCAACAGGAAAGAAGAUUCAUGUGUUUGGGAGUUAUGUCUUCAUUUAAUGAAGGUAGAAUUAACAGAGACUUGAAUGCUACCAAACCUUUCUUGCUCCCUUUCCCUUUUUCCCUUUCCCUUCACAGUUUUUGUGGCCAAACCUGAUUCAGCUGCAGAAGAAAAGCCCCCACAGCUGUGGCACUGUUUACCCACCCCUCCAUCAUUUCACUCUGUGACCUUGCCGUGCCCUUGACUUUGCCAAUGCAGUGAUGCCAAUCCUUGCUGCUUCUACAAAGGGCUGGGUAAAAUGCCAUUCCUUCUGCUUGCCCAGGGAAGUCAAAGUGAUAAUGUGGUUAUAAAAUACAUUCUUUCCAUCCUGGAAGAAAGAAAUAUUGCAAAUCUGUUUGCACAAACUCAUUUGUGAUUCCUUUAUUGGAAGUACUUAUUCAAUAACAGGCUGACAAAGGAUCCCAGGCAGUCACAUUUGGUGCAAAAGAGAUGAUAAUGUGCUAAGAAACAGGAUGGAAUUAUGCUGUGCUCCAGCUUGCCCAGGAGUGUGAAUGCACAAUUCUUUGCACAGUUUCUGCUCUGAGUAAUUCUUAAUGUAUGGCACAAAAAUUAUAUAAAUAAUUUUUUUAAUCAAUUAAAUCAAUGUUUGUUUAGACAGACAUGAUCUGGACAUAUAUACCUAGAGCUGGAACCCUUUGGAGAGAGAAAUCAGCUUUAUUUGGGUGCUACAGAAGAAUGUAGUACUUUUCCGACAGGAGGCUCCCCAUUUCUGCUACAAUUUCAAGCAUUCCAUGCUUUAUGGACUUUACCUCCAAUAAUUAAGAUAUUAAUCGUUAUCUUGGUUGUCCUGCCUUCUCUUCCAGUGCUGCCUAAUCUUGCUAGUAAGUAUUAUACUGUAUAUCCUUUAAGGCUUGAUGUUUAGCAGUUACUGGUUCAUAGCAUAACAUAUGCGCUUUAAGGAUGAGAACUCCAAAAGCUUUUGUAAUUGCCUAAGCAAAGAGAAGAAAAAAAAAAAAAAAGUCCUUUCAUUUCAGCUAUUAUCAGAACUCUAUAUUGAAAGCAUCAGUGCAAAAUGGCGUGACAUAUUCUUCCCUACAGAGGGAAUAUAGCUAUAGAAUGUUGGCCUUCUCAGGCUCACAGAUAUGCGCCACGUCUGCUGACUUUACACUAGGGCAUGA